rnacentral:tRNA from 1 species
UGGGGUGUAGCCAAGAGGUAAGGCAGCGGACUUUGGAUCCGCGACCGGAGGUUCGAAUCCUCCCACCCCAGCCA